CUACGGGCUGCUGCAGUGAGGAAUAUUGCACAAUGGGGGGAACCCUGAUGCAGCAACGCCGCGUGGAGGAUGACGCAUUUCGGUGUGUAAACUCCUUUUAUAUGUCAAGAAAAUGACGGUAGCAUAUGAAUAAGCACCGGCUAACUCCGUGCCAGCAGCCGCGGUAAUACGGAGGGUGCAAGCGUUACUCGGAAUCACUGGGCGUAAAGGACGCGUAGGCGGGUUGGAAAGUCAGGUGUGAAAUCCUACAGCUUAACUGUAGAACUGCACUUGAAACUUCUAAUCUAGAGUAUGGGAGGGGGAGAUGGAAUUAGUGGUGUAGGGGUAAAAUCCGUAGAUAUCACUAGGAAUACCUAAAGCGAAGGCGAUCUCCUGGAACAUUACUGACGCUAAGGCGCGAAGGCGUGGGGAGCAAACAGGAUUAGAUACCCGUGUAGUC
rnacentral:rRNA from 1 species